UAGGGAAUCUUCGGCAAUGGGGGCAACCCUGACCGAGCAACGCCGCGUGAGUGAAGAAGGUUUUCGGAUCGUAAAGCUCUGUUGUAAGAGAAGAACGUGUGUGAGAGUGGAAAGUUCACACAGUGACGGUAACUUACCAGAAAGGGACGGCUAACUACGUGCCAGCAGCCGCGGUAAUACGUAGGUCCCGAGCGUUGUCCGGAUUUAUUGGGCGUAAAGCGAGCGCAGGCGGUUUAAUAAGGCUGAAGUUAAAGGCAGUGGCUUAACCAUUGUUCGCUUUGGAAACUGUUAAACUUGAGUGCAGAAGGGGAGAGUGGAAUUCCAUGUGUAGCGGUGAAAUGCGUAGAUAUAUGGAGGAACACCGGUGGCGAAAGCGGCUCUCUGGUCUGUAACUGACGCUGAGGCUCGAAAGCGUGGGGAGCAAACAGG
rnacentral:rRNA from 1 species